AUGUUGGGCCAUCUGUCUUUAAGUACAGGCAAAUUACUCUUAAUUAAAAAAAAAAAUUUUUUUAAAGGAAUCCUAGAUAGUUUUCUCUUCAAGUCAAGCAUCUUGU
rnacentral:pre_miRNA from 1 species